rnacentral:rRNA from 1 species
CGCUGGCGGCGUGCUUAACACAUGCAAGUCGAACGGUGAACACGGAGCUUGCUCUGUGGGAUCAGUGGCGAACGGGUGAGUAACACGUGAGCAACCUGCCCCUGACUCUGGGAUAAGCGCUGGAAACGGCGUCUAAUACUGGAUAUGUGACGUGACCGCAUGGUCUGCGUCUGGAAAGAAUUUCGGUUGGGGAUGGGCUCGCGGCCUAUCAGCUUGUUGGUGAGGUAAUGGCUCACCAAGGCGUCGACGGGUAGCCGGCCUGAGAGGGUGACCGGCCACACUGGGACUGAGACACGGCCCAGACUCCUACGGGAGGCAGCAGUGGGGAAUAUUGCACAAUGGGCGCAAGCCUGAUGCAGCAACGCCGCGUGAGGGACGACGGCCUUCGGGUUGUAAACCUCUUUUAGCAGGGAAGAAGCGAAAGUGACGGUACCUGCAGAAAAAGCGCCGGCUAACUACGUGCCAGCAGCCGCGGUAAUACGUAGGGCGCAAGCGUUAUCCGGAAUUAUUGGGCGUAAAGAGCUCGUAGGCGGUUUGUCGCGUCUGCUGUGAAAUCCGGAGGCUCAACCUCCGGCCUGCAGUGGGUACGGGCAGACUAGAGUGCGGUAGGGGAGAUUGGAAUUCCUGGUGUAGCGGUGGAAUGCGCAGAUAUCAGGAGGAACACCGAUGGCGAAGGCAGAUCUCUGGGCCGUAACUGACGCUGAGGAGCGAAAGGGUGGGGAGCAAACAGGCUUAGAUACCCUGGUAGUCCACCCCGUAAACGUUGGGAACUAGUUGUGGGGUCCAUUCCACGGAUUCCGUGACGCAGCUAACGCAUUAAGUUCCCCGCCUGGGGAGUACGGCCGCAAGGCUAAAACUCAAAGGAAUUGACGGGGACCCGCACAAGCGGCGGAGCAUGCGGAUUAAUUC